rnacentral:pre_miRNA from 1 species
AGUAUGGAAGAAUCUGUAAAGCUCAGGAGGGAUAGCGCCAUUUAUGCCUUGCUUGGAUUACUUGCUUAGUCAUAUAUAGCGCUAUCCAUCCUGGGUUUCCUGGGUUCUUCUUACU